rnacentral:misc_RNA from 1 species
AAUUGCUUGAUUAGCUGUGAAAUGAGCGAAUCUGACAAAAGGGAAUUCACAGAACUGAUUCUCAAGAAGAAUCGAAUAAGAUUGGUUAAACUGGUGGCCGAUUCCCCAGAUUUUGUAAACUAAAGCCUCGGCAAAUAGCAUGGCGAUCUUACAUAUCACCCCGGCUUGAGAGUUUGCUAAGGAACGGAUUUCUUUGACAAUGGCUUCUGCAAGAUUGAAAUUCCUUUCUUCAACCGCCUCAGCACAGGCUAUUAGGAGAUGAAAGAGUCGGCUAUUACUGUUUCCUUGAAGGGCAAAGGAGCCACCAACCGUAGAUGAUGAUGAACACGAUGAUGAUAAUGCUGGAGAUGGGUGGUCUGUGUAAGAGGUUUUAAAGGGCCGAGACUCUCCAGAAGAGGAGGAAUCGGAUUGAUAAGGUUGGGUAUAAUCAUUGUUACUAGAAGAUGUGGUUGAAGGCGAUGUAGGGGCACCAUCCGGAGAUAAAGAUUGCUGAAAAACCCAAUGCAUCUCAGAAGAUUCUUUAUGUUACUACUUACCACAGAGAGUUGUUGCCUUACUGCGGCUGCGGUGGUGGUGGAGAAAGAGUAGAAGAGGAGGAUGUUUGGUGAGUCAGUCUUAAU